CGUGCUUAAUACAUGCAAGUCAACUGAACUUAAGAUAGCAAUAUUUUAAGGGAGGUGGCGCACGGGUGAGUAACACGUAGGUAAUCUGCCUUAGGUCUGACACAACCCGAGAAAUCGGGGCUAAUAUCAGAUGAUGCAGCGGCUCGACAUCGAGACAGUUGUUAAACCUUCGGGGCCUAAAGAUGAGCCUGCGUCUGAUUAGCUGGUUGGCGGGGUAACGGCCCACCAAGGCAACGAUCAGUAGCUGGUCUGAGAGGAUGAUCAGCCACACUGGAACUGAGACACGGUCCAGACUCCUACGGGAGGCAGCAGUAAGGAAUAUUGCUCAAUGGCCGAAAGGCUGAAGCAGCAACGCCGCGUGGAGGAUGAAAUACUUUUGUAUGUAAACUCCUGUGAGAAGGGAAAAAUAUGCAGAUUUUCUGCGUUGAUUGUACCUUCAGAGGAAGCCCCGGCUAACUACGUG
rnacentral:rRNA from 1 species